rnacentral:lncRNA from 1 species
GUUGUAGGCGUUCUCAAGGCCGAAUCUGCUCUCCCUCAGAUUCUGGUCUGUAGGGAGAGGCCGUGAUGAGUGAUGGGAGCCUUGGUAGGGGGAGGACUAGGGGGCAGAGGGGAUUUCCUCUGGCAAAAGGAAGAGUCAGCCCGGCAUCUGCCCUACGCCCUUUCCCACUGCCGACCACCCCUCCGACCCUGCAUCACUGGGCUGCGGACAGAAAUGCCUUGAGCAGCUGUAGGCAAGGAGGCUGAGGAGGGACUU